rnacentral:rRNA from 1 species
GUAAGGAAUAUUGGACAAUGGGCGCAAGCCUGAUCCAGCCAUGCCGCGUGAAGGAUGAAGGCCCUAUGGGUCGUAAACUUCUUUUAUACGGGAAAAAACCCCUUGAUGCGUCGAGGGUUGAUGGUACUGUAAGAAUAAGGGUCGGCUAACUUCGUGCCAGCAGCCGCGGUAAUACGAAGGACCCGAGCGUUAUCCGGAUUUAUUGGGUUUAAAGGGUGCGUAGGCGGAUUGGUAAGUCAGUGGUGAAAGCCUCUCGCUCAACGAGAGAACUGCCAUUGAUACUGCCAGUCUUGAGUAUGGUUGAGGUGGGCGGAAUGUGUCAUGUAGCGGUGAAAUGCUUAGAUAUGACACAGAACACCGAUUGCGAAGGCAGCUCGCUAAGCCAUAACUGACGCUGAGGCACGAAAGCGUGGGGAGCAAACAGGAUUAGAAACCCCUGUAGUCC